AUCUUCAGGAGAGUAAGACCUGGACUUUGCUGAAACUUCUGAGCUCUGCUUCAGUCUCCUAGGCGCAAAGACCUGGUCUCUAUGAAGCUCAGUGUCUGUGAGACGCUACCAUCAUGGCAGCCCCCGUUCAUGUUUCUCUUGCUGACCUAUCCUCUGCAGGGGAAGCCAAGUCUGCUAACGGGGUGGUGCCGUGCGGACACUCAAUGUUGCAGUUAAACCACAUCCCUUAAGAAGGAAACCUAAGGUGGCUGCUCAUUUGAGGUUCUCCAGUGGCCACACCAAUGAUAUGAGUGUGAGUCCACAUGCAGGACGAUUUAAUGGCUGUGCAGUCAUGCUCAAAAGCCCCACACCAGCCUCCUCUGCAACAACAACUGCAACAACAACAGAGAUAUGACAGCCUCCCUCUCUCAUUGCUAAGGAAGGACUUCAAAGCACACUGAGUAAUUUGCAUUUCUUAUCCCAGGACAGAG
rnacentral:lncRNA from 1 species